CCAGAUUCCAAGCGCCGCCAGACCAGUAGUCAGAACUGGGGCUCCCAACCCAUUGCUCAGCAGCCGCUCCAUGGCGGGGACCAUGCUGCAGGAAAAAGGGCCGGAGGUCGCCGCUGACGAGUCGCUGUGAGGCCGGGCGGCGCCCCCUGCUGGAGGGAACGGUAAGGUCAGCUGACUCAGAGGAACCUCCGGCGCUGGACGGGAUCCUUCUGGACCGAGCUUAGCCGCCAGCUUGGAGUGAACUCUGGUUUUGUUUUGAAGACGGACUCGAUGAUCUGGGAUCAGCGCCGAGCCGUUCCAGCCGACCGCUAACUACCUCAGAGGACCAGAGUCCGGACCGGACGGCGCCGGAGGUCCGCCCCGGCCCAGGCCGUCCUCAGGCCUCCGGUUCUGGCCCAGAGGAGGGGACCCAACGGACCCCGGCGUGGAGUCCAUCAUCAGGCGCCAAGCAGAAGUUAGUCAAACAUGUUUAUCAGAACCGCCUCCAAUGGACCCAGACCGCCAUCAGAGCAGCACAGAACUAGAACUUUUAACAAAUUGGGCUUAAAAUCAGCGACUAAAAGUUCUGAUAAAUGACCCGGCUGGUUUCACUUACAGGAACAUUCAGAGUAAAGCUAGAAACGCUGGAGCCAAGAACGCUUUCAAAGUUAGCUAAAGCUAAGAGCUAGCACCGCUACUAGCUUAAGCAAAUUAUCCGACGUUUUAUUUCUCACGUAAAUGUAAAAUAAAUGUUUCAAGUGAAUUAUUUUUAAAUCCGUUUCCUCAGAUCAGAAACUGAUCAAAUUUAAACGGAUUUUAACAGAAAUCACUGAAAAGCUCCAUUUUCUGAUUUUUAUUUCUCACCCUGAACGCCUCGUUAGCCCAGCUCUAGAACCGGACCGGCGGUCAGAACCGGGUUCUGGUUCCUGAUGAUCCGGCUCCACUCUGCCGGGUCGCUGGUUCCCCAGCUGAGGAUGGGGUUGCCAUGGCAACAGAUGGAGCUGCAGCCUGAAGGUCGUCGGGUUCAUUCGGUUCUGUUCCGGAGCGGUCACAUGACCCAACCCACGCUCCCCCUGCAGACCCGGUUCCGGUCCAGAGCCAGAACCGUUUGGGUCAGAAAGCUGGCCUGGCUUCCUUUGGUGGCUCAGAGCUGAAAGGCAUUGUGGGAGAUGUAGUCGAGCACAGGACCGUGUUGCUGCUUUUCUGCCAUUAAACAGAAUCUGGACCCAGGUUCUGGUCGGAUUCUGAUGAGCUGCUUUCAGAGAGU